AAGGGAUUUGAGAGGAGCUGCUCCUAGUACGAGAGGACCGGAGUGGACAGACCUCUGGUGUGCCAGUUGUCGUGCCAACGGCAUUGCUGGGUAGCUACGUCGGGCAGAGAUAACCGCUGAAAGCAUCUAAGUGGGAAACUCGCCUCAAGAUAAGAUCCCUGUAAUCCAGUUAAGGGAGUAAGACCGCAGGUAGACCACCUGCUAUAUAGGCAGCAAGUGUAAGCACAGUAAUGUGUUGAGCUAAGUUGUACUAAUGGUCGAGGGCUGAAUCCCG
rnacentral:rRNA from 1 species